UGGCGACCGGCGCGACGGGUGAGUAACGCGUACUACCAACCCUUCCCCUUAAGGUAGGGCAUACGCCCGGUAGAAAAUCGGAUUAAUACCCUAUGUUGUGUCAUGAGGACAUCUGAAUAACAACUAAAGAUUUAUCGCGUAAGGGAGUGGGAUGCGUCCGAUUAGGUAGUCGGCGGGUAACGGCCCACCGAGCCCUCGAUCGGUAGGGGUUCUGAGAGGAAGGUCCCCCACACUGGUACUGAGACACGGACCAGACUCCUACGGGAGGCAGCAGUGAGGAAUAUUGGUCAAUGGGCGCGAGCCUGAACCAGCCAAGUAGCGUGCAGGAUGACGGCCCUAUGGGUUGUAAACUGCUUUUAUACGGGGAUAAAGUGAGGGACGUGUCCCUUAUUGUAGGUACCGUAUGAAUAAGGACCGGCUAAUUCCGUGCCAGCCGCAGC
rnacentral:rRNA from 1 species